GGGUAUGACAAUUUAAUAUAGUAUCAGAGUAUAAGUAGAUAAACUAUGACAUAUAGAAUGAGUGUAGGUGGGUAGAUACUAGGGAUAUCGGGGUAUAGAUUUAUGAUGGUUGCAGUAUAAGUAAUCUUCAUGAUUUUUGACUCAAUCCUAUAAUUAUGAAUGAAAAGAUCACCUUGGAAUAAUGAUUUAGAGGGUUUGAUAUAGAGGGACU
rnacentral:lncRNA from 1 species